rnacentral:rRNA from 1 species
AGAGACAGCAGCAGCCGCGGUAAUACGGAGGGUGCAAGCGUUAAUCGGAAUUACUGGGCGUAAAGCGCACGCAGGCGGUCUGACAAGUCAGAUGUGAAAUCCCCGGGCUUAACCUGGGAACUGCAUUUGAAACUGUCAGGCUGGAGUCUUGUAGAGGGGGGUGGAAUUCCAGGUGUAGCGGUGAAAUGCGUAGAGAUCUGGAGGAAUACCGGUGGCGAAGGCGGCCCCCUGGACAAAGACUGACGCUCAGGUGCGAAAGCGUGGGGAGCAAACAGGAUUAGAUACCCGGGUAGUCCCUGUCUCUUAUAC